rnacentral:tRNA from 1 species
GAGGGUAUAGCUCAGUGGUAGAGCGCAUGCUAAGCAUGCACGAGGUCCUGGGUUCAAUCCCCAGUACCUUCU